CCCAGCCGAUUGCCUAACUCUGCCGCGGCCCGGGGGUAACUCGCAUCAACGUCCGGCAGAGACGGGGAAACCACUUUUGAUCUGCUGAUAUGCAGGUCUUGGGGUGAAGCCGCACAGUGCCCGCAACGACGGGCCCGGAGUGCGGCCGGGUGCCUCCCAUCCGAAUCCGACAGCUCACCUCGCAGGCAUUGGGAGAGGCUAC
rnacentral:sRNA from 2 species